rnacentral:tRNA from 1 species
GCCCCCAUAGUCUAGUAGGUCAGGACAUCUCUCUUUCAAGGAGGUAGCGGGGAUUCGACUUUCCCUGGGGGUA